GAUGAACGCUGGCGGCGUGCUUAACACAUGCAAGUCGAACGGAAAGGCUCCUGCUUGCAGGGGUACUCGAGUGGCGAACGGGUGAGUAACGCGUGGGUGAUCUGCCCUGCACUUCGGGAUAAGCCUGGGAAACUGGGUCUAAUACCGGAUAGGACGAUGGUUUGGAUGCCAUUGUGGAAAGUUUUUCGGUGUGGGAUGAGCUCGCGGCCUAUUAGCUUGUUGGUGGGGUAAUGGCCUACCAAGGCGUCGACCGGUAGCCGGCCUGGGAGGGUGUACGGCCACAUUGGUACUGAGGGAGGGCCCAGACUCCUACGGGAGGCAGCAGUGGGGAAUAUUGCACAAUGGGCGCAAGCCUGAUGCAGCGACGCCGCGUGGGGGAUGACGGCCUUCGGGUUGUAAACUCCUUUCGUCAGGGACGAAGCGAAAGUGACGGUACCUGGAUAAGAAGCACCGGCUAACUACGUG
rnacentral:rRNA from 1 species